rnacentral:lncRNA from 1 species
AGCCAGACGGCGCGCGGCGGGCGUAGGACUUUGGGCUUUCGCCUCGUCCUGCGCUUGACCCCAGAUGCGUUUCCAGAAGCGGGGCACCUGGGGACGCAGGAGUCUGGGAUCCCCGUCCCCCGAAAACGGACUUGGCUCCGAGAAAUCCUCCGCUUCGUGGGCUUCGCCCUCUGCAACUACCUUGCGCCUCCCUUGGCCUAG